rnacentral:lncRNA from 1 species
CUUGGUACAGGUGUUUUAAGAGGAGUCUUAAAGAGUCUUUGGUACCUACUCCUACAUUGCUCCAAAAUCAUCUACCUGGCAGCAUUAGGGCUAGUCUUCUGGUUAGAACAGCAGAAAGAGGCAAGUACUUUUGAAGAAACCUGUGAGUAUCUGGGUGGCUCUGAAGUCUAUCAGCAACUGCACUGCUAACUAUACAGAUAUAGCAUACACAAAGAUCCAGAUUCCAUUGAUCUAAAACUCCCAUUGAUCUAAAUGACAUGAAUUCACCAGCAAUGGAAAAGGCACUAAGGGGCAGACCC